rnacentral:rRNA from 1 species
UAACGCGAAGAACCUUACCAAGGCUUGACAUACACCGGAAACGGCCAGAGAUGGUCGCCCCCUUGUGGUCGGUGUACAGGUGGUGCAUGGUUGUCGUCAGCUCGUGUCGUGAGAUGUUGGGUUAAGUCCCGCAACGAGCGCAACCCUCGUUCUAUGUUGCCAGCGCGUUAUGGCGGGGACUCAUAGGAGACUGCCGGGGUCAACUCGGAGGAAGGUGGGGAUGGCGUCAAAUCAUCAUGCCCCUUAUGUCUUGGGCUUCACGCAUGCUACAAUGGCCGGUACAAAGGGCUGCGAUACCGUAAGGUGGAGCGAAUCCCAAAAAGCCGGUCUCAGUUCGGAUUGAGGUCUGCAACUCGACCUCAUGAAGUCGGAGUCGCUAGUAAUCGCAGAUCAGCA